UGGGGAAUUUUGGACAAUGGGGGCAACCCUGAUCCAGCCAUGCCGCGUGCGGGAAGAAGGCCUUCGGGUUGUAAACCGCUUUUGUCCGGGAAGAAAAGGCACUUCCUAAUACGGGGUGUUCUUGACGGUACUGGAAGAAUAAGCACCGGCUAACUACGUGCCAGCAGCCGCGGUAAUACGUAGGGUGCGAGCGUUAAUCGGAAUUACUGGGCGUAAAGCGUGCGCAGGUGGUUCGUUAAGUCUGCUGUGAAAGCCCCGGGCUCAACCUGGGAAUGGCAGUGGAAACUGGCGAGCUUGAGUGUGGCAGAGGGGGGUGGAAUUCCACGUGUAGCAGUGAAAUGCGUAGAGAUGUGGAGGAACACCGAUGGCGAAGGCAGCCCCCUGGGCUGACACUGACACUCAGGCACGAAAGCGUGGGGAGCAAACAGGAUUAGAUACCCCCGUAGUCC
rnacentral:rRNA from 1 species